AAAAAGAUGCGUUUCCCGAACGUGGGUACUUAGCAAUACCUAGUAACUAAUGAUUUUUUGGGAAAUUAAAUAAGAUCAAAUUAUAAGCAAUGAACAUUUCAGAUGUCGAUUUAACACAGUUCCAAUGGAAACUGCUUGCCUGUUAUCUUUAGUUCGUGGGGGAAGCACUGUAGAAGUUUAGAAAUGGCUAGAGACAUCCCCAGAUUCCCAAGCAGAAUGAAAACUUCCUUUCCGGAAAACACAAAAUGUUCUCCCACAUCACACCCCGCCUGCAUUUAUCAAAAAAGAAAACACCUGAUGCUGGCUGUGUGCUGUUGGAACCAGAAACUUUUUAGCAUAUUAUAGUCGAGUGCCAGUGACUUCUUUGUUCUUUCAGAGGCAUUCUAAAAAGCGGCGUGUUUCACGAAUCUCAGAGACAACAACUUUCACAACUAUCAACUGUCACCUCCCAAACUGCCACAGAACCUUUUAAGUCCAACAUUCUGUCAUUUGUGGGAAAUACUCAUCUUCUAAAACACACUCUACUUAUUCUUUGAAUAGUAGUUGCAAAGCUAGUCAUCUCUCAGGAAGCACUUUCUAUUUCCAAAACUUUGGUUUCAUCAGUACCUGGAGCAAAGCUUCUGGCAGAAACACAAAUCCUCAUCAGGGGAGAGGCACAGGAUCAACUCACGGUUAUAAACUGGACUCCUGCUCUGACGGGUAGCAGCCAUCAACUUUGCCCGAUUCUCAUAAUUCUGAAGGGUCACCAAGGAGUUGCUACCAGCCACUGUACUUAAAGUGGUGUCACAGGAUUACAAAAUAGAAGAAAGUCUUUCUUCUCUGACUAAUAUGUUAGUGCUCUAACCAGAAUGAAAUUCACAACAGUAAAGAAUAGAACUGAAGAGAAUAAGGAAAAGAAAAAAGGGGCUGAGGGAGAAGGAAAAGAAAAGAGAGUUUAAAAAGGUAGAGAAGGUAAGACUCCAGGCAUUCUAAACACUACCAAAAUGUACAGAUCUAUUUUAUGUGCUCUGCAAUGACA
rnacentral:lncRNA from 1 species